GAUGAACGCUGGCGGCGUGCCUAAUACAUGCAAGUCGAGCGAACGGACGAGAAGCUUGCUUCUCUGAUGUUAGCGGCGGACGGGUGAGUAACACGUGGAUAACCUACCUAUAAGACUGGGAUAACUUCGGGAAACCGGAGCUAAUACCGGAUAAUAUUUUGAACCGCAUGGUUCAAGAGUGAAAGACGGUCUUGCUGUCACUUAUAGAUGGAUCCGCGCUGCAUUAGCUAGUUGGUAAGGUAACGGCUUACCAAGGCAACGAUGCAUAGCCGACCUGAGAGCGAGAUCGGCCACAUGGGAUGAGAGACAGGGUCGAGACUCCUAGAGUGGGAAGCAGUAGGGAAUCCUACGCAAUGCGGGAGAGCCUAACGGAGCAACACGGCGUGAGUGAUGAAGGACUUCUGCUCGGAAAACGAUGUUAUUAGGAAAGAAGAUAUGUGUAAGUACCUGUGCACAUCAUGACGGUACCUAAUCAGAAAGCCACGGCUAACUACGUG
rnacentral:rRNA from 1 species